CAUGCAAGUCGAACGGCAGCACGGGUGCUUGCACCUGGUGGCGAGUGGCGAACGGGUGAGUAAUACAUCGGAACAUGUCCUGUAGUGGGGGAUAGCCCGGCGAAAGCCGGAUUAAUACCGCAUACGAUCUACGGAUGAAAGCGGGGGACCUUCGGGCCUCGCGCUAUAGGGUUGGCCGAUGGCUGAUUAGCUAGUUGGUGGGGUAAAGGCCUACCAAGGCGACGAUCAGUAGCUGGUCUGGGAGGACGACCAGCCACACUGGGACUGAGACACGGCCCAGACUCCUACGGGAGGCAGCAGUGGGGAAUUUUGGACAAUGGGCGAAAGCCUGAUCCAGCAAUGCCGCGUGUGUGAAGAAGGCCUUCGGGUUGUAAAGCACUUUUGUCCGGAAAGAAAUCCUUGGUUCUAAUAUAGCCGGGGGAUGACGGUACCGGAAGAAUAAGCACCGGCUAACUACGUGCCAGCAGCCGCGGUAAUACGUAGGGUGCGAGCGUUAAUCGGAAUUACUGGGCGUAAAGCGUGCGCAGGCGGUUUGCUAAGACCGAUGUGAAAUCCCCGGGCUCAACCUGGGAACUGCAUUGGUGACUGGCAGGCUAGAGUAUGGCAGAGGGGGGUAGAAUUCCAUCGUGUAGCAGUGAAAUGCGUAGAGAUGUGGAGGAAUACCGAUGGCGAAGG
rnacentral:rRNA from 1 species